GCCACGUCCAGCCUGUCCUUAAACGCCUCCAGGGACGGUGACUCCACCACCUCCCUGGGCAGCCUAUUCCAAUGUCUAAUCACCCUUUUUGGAAAGAAAUUUCUCAUGCGUCCCACCUAAGCCUCCACUGGUGUAGUUUAAGACGGUGUACUCGUGUCCUGUCGCUGGUUGCCUUGGAGAAGAGUUGGACCCCUAUCCCUCCAACCUUUCAGACUAGAAUUACCCUGGCCAAGCCAACUUGCCUCAAAGGCUUCCCAGGCCUGCUUGCCUUGUAGAUUUCCAGCUGCCGAACAAAAAGCCUGAGCCUUUGCCUUUCUGAUUCAGUUUCUCAUCUGCAAUGCGAUAAACUCGAGCUCGAGCAUUCACAAACAUUGAAGUGCUGGAGUCAAGGAACAGCCAGC